GACGAACGCUGGCGGCAUGCCUAAUACAUGCAAGUCGAGCGAACAGAUGAAGUGCUUGCACUUCUGACGUUAGCGGCGAACGGGUGAGUAACACGUAAGGAAUCUACCUAUAAGCGGGGGAUAACAUUCGGAAACGGGUGCUAAUACCGCAUAAUAUCUUCUUCCGCAUGGAAGAAGAUUGAAAGACGGCUCUGCUGUCACUUAUAGAUGACCUUGCGGUGCAUUAGUUAGUUGGUGGGGUAACGGCCUACCAAGACGAUGAUGCAUAGCCGACCUGAGAGGGUGAUCGGCCACAUUGGGACUGAGACCCGGCCCAAACUCCUACGGGAGGCAGCAGUAGGGAAUCUUCCGCAAUGGGCGAAAGCCUGACGGAGCAAUGCCACGUGAGUGAAGAAGGCCUUCGGGUCGUAAAACUCUGUUAUAGGAGAAGAACAAAUUGUAGAGUAACUGCUACAGUCUUGACGGUAUCUUAUCAGAAAGCCACGGCUAACUACGUGCCAGCAGCCGCCGUAA
rnacentral:rRNA from 1 species